CAGUAGCCGCGGUAAUACGAAGGGUGCAAGCGUUAAUCGGAAUUACUGGGCGUAAAGCGUGCGUAGGCGGUGAGUUAAGUCUGCUGUGAAAUCCCCGGGCUCAACCUGGGAAUGGCAGUGGAUACUGGCUCGCUAGAGUGUGUCAGAGGAUGGUGGAAUUCCCGGUGUAGCGGUGAAAUGCGUAGAGAUUGGGAGGAACAUCAGUGGCGAAGGCGGCCAUCUGGGACAACACUGACGCUGAGGCACGAAAGCAUGGGGAGCAAACAGGAUUAGAUACCCCAGUAGUCCCUGUCUCUUAUAC
rnacentral:rRNA from 1 species